GACGAACGCUGGCGGCGUGCUUAACACAUGCAAGUCGAGCGGAAAGGCCCUUCGGGGUACUCGAGCGGCGAACGGGUGAGUAACACGUGAGUAACCUGCCCCAGGCUUUGGGAUAACCCUCGGAAACGGGGGCUAAUACCGGAUAUGACUUGACCUCGCAUGGGGUUGGGUGGAAAGUUUUUCGGCUUGGGAUGGGCUCGCGGCCUAUCAGCUUGUUGGGGGGGUGAUGGCCUACCAAGGCGACGACGGGUAGCCGGCCUGAGAGGGCGACCGGCCACACUGGGACUGAGACACGGCCCAGACUCCUACGGGAGGCAGCAGUGGGGAAUAUUGCACAAUGGGCGGAAGCCUGAUGCAGCGACGCCGCGUGAGGGAUGACGGCCUUCGGGUUGUAAACCUCUUUCAGCAGGGACGAAGCGUGAGUGACGGUACCUGCAGAAGAAGCACCGGCCAACUACGUGCCAGCCGCCGCAGUAAAAC
rnacentral:rRNA from 1 species